CGAGCGCACCCACAUCUUUAGUUGCCAUCAGGUUAAGCUGGGCACUCUAGAGAAACUGCCCGUGAUAAGCGGGAGGAAGGUGUGGAUGACGUCAAGUCCUCAUGGCCCUUACGGGUUGGGCUACACACGUGCUACAAUGGCAUCUACAAUGGGUUAAUCCCNAAAAGAUGUCUCAGUUCGGAUUGGGGUCUGCAACUCGACCCCAUGAAGUCGGAAUCGCUAGUAAUCGCGUAACAGCAUGACGCGGUGAAUACGUUCCCGGGCCUUGCACACACCGCCCGU
rnacentral:rRNA from 1 species